rnacentral:rRNA from 1 species
AUUGAACGCUGGCGGCAGGCCUAACACAUGCAAGUCGAACGAGUGGCGGACGGGUGAGUAAUGUCUGGGAAACUGCCUGGUAGAGGGGGAUAACUACUGGAAACAGUAGCUAAUACCGCAUACCAUCGGAUGUGCCCAGAUGGGAUUAGCUAGUAGGUGGGGUAAAGGCUCACCUAGGCGACGAUCCCUAGCUGGUAUGAGAGGAUGACCAGCCACACUGGAACUGAGCCACGGGCCAGACGCCUACGGGAGGGAGCAGUGGGGAAUCUUGGACAAUGGGGGCAAGCCUGAUGCAGCCAUGCCGCGUGUAUGAAGAAGGCCUUCGGGUUGUAAAGUACGUUUAGCGGGGAGGCGUUACCCGCAGAAGAAGCACCGGCUAACUCCGUGCCAGCAGCCGCGGUAAUUC